GGGCCCGUAGCUCAGCCUGGAUAGAGCGUCCCCCCCCUAAGGGGAAGGCCCCGCGUUCGAAUCGCGGCGGGCCCG
rnacentral:tRNA from 1 species